rnacentral:rRNA from 1 species
AUGAAUGCUGGCGGCGUGCCUAAUACCUGCAAGUCGAGCGCACGGACGAGAAGCUUGCUUCUCUGAUGUUAGCGGCGGACGGGUGAGUAACACGUGGAUAACCUACCUAUAAGACUGGGAUAACUUCGGGAAACCGGAGCUAAUACCGGAUAAUAUUUUGAACCGCAUGGUUCAAAAGUGAAAGACGGUCUUGCUGUCACUUAUAGAUGGAUCCGCGCUGCAUUAGCUAGUUGGUAAGGUAACGGCUUACCAAGGCAACGAUGCAUAGCCGACCUGAGAGGGUGAUCGGCCACACUGGAACUGAGACACGGUCCAGACUCCUACGGGAGGCAGCAGUAGGGAAUCUUCCGCAAUGGGCGAAAGCCUGACGGAGCAACGCCGCGUGAGUGAUGAAGGUCUUCGGAUCGUAAAACUCUGUUAUUAGGGAAGAACAUAUGUGUAAGUAACUGUGCACAUCUUGACGGUACCUAAUCAGAAAGCCACGGCUAACUACGUG